rnacentral:tRNA from 1 species
GGUUGUGGCUCAGUGGUAGAGCACUUCCCUGACCCGGGUGAAGCACUGGGUUCAAACCUCAGCACCA